rnacentral:rRNA from 1 species
GAUGAACGCUGGCGGCGUGCUUAACACAUGCAAGUCGAACGAAGCACUUAAGAUUGAUUCUUCGGAUGACGUCUUUUGUGACUUAGUGGCGGACGGGUGAGUAACGCGUGGGUAACCUGCCUCACACAGGGGGAUAACAGUUAGAAAUGACUGCUAAUACCGCAUACCCCGAUAGGAUCGCAUGAUCCAGACGGAAAAGAUUUAUCGGUGUGAGAUGGACCCGCGUCUGAUUAGCUAGCUGGUGAGGUAACGGCCCACCAAGGCGACGAUCAGUAGCCGGCCUGAGAGGGUGAACGGCCACAUUGGGACUGAGACACGGCCCAAACUCCUACGGGAGGCAGCAGUGGGGAAUAUUGCACAAUGGGGGAAACCCUGAUGCAGCGACGCCGCGUGAGUGAAGAAGUAUUUCGGUAUGUAAAGCUCUAUCAGCAGGGAAGAAAAUGACGGUACCUGACUAAGAAGCCCCGGCUAACUACGUG